UGAAGUCAAGCAUCAUUGGGCGUGGUCAGUACUUGGGUGGGUGACCACCUGGGAACACCGCGUGCCGUU
rnacentral:rRNA from 1 species